UGAGGAAUUUUCCGCAAUGGUCGCAAGACUGACGGAGCAACGCCGCGUGCAGGAGGACGGCCUUCGGGUUGUAAACUGCUUUUACCAGGGAAGAGAAUGGACGGUACCUGGUGAAGAAGCCCCGGCUUACUACGUGCCAGCAGCCGCGGUAAUACGUAGGGGGCAAGCGUUGUCCGGAAUUAUUGGGCGUAAAGCGCCCGCAGGCGGUUCGCCAAGUUUGGGGCGACAAUCACCGGCUUAACUGGUGAACGUCCUCAAAAACUGGAGGACUUGAGAGCGAGAGAGGGACACGGAACUCCGGGUGGAGUGGUGAAAUGCGUAGAUAUCCGGAAGAACACCGAUGGCGAAGGCAGUGUCCUGGCUCGUUUCUGACGCUGAGGGGCGAAAGCCAGGGGAGCGAACGGGAUUAGAUACCCGUGUAGUCC
rnacentral:rRNA from 1 species